UGAGUACGAGAUGCUACGGCGUCGAAGCAGUCUAGGUCAUACUUCCAAGAAAAGCUUGCACUGUCAUAAACAAAGAAUGCCUGUACCAUAACCGACACAGGUGGGUAGGUAGAGUAUACUAAGGGGCGCGAGAUAACUCUCUCUAAGGAACUCGGCAAAAUGACUCCGUAACUUCGGGAGAAGGAGUGCCUUAUUUUUAAGGUUGCAAUAACAAGAUCCAAGCAACUGUUUACCAAAAACACAGGUCUCCGCUAAGUCGUAAGACGAUGUAUGGGGGCUGACGCCUGCCCAGUGCCAGAAGGUUAAAGAAGUUGGUUAGCAUUCGCGAAGCUGAUAACUGAAGCCCUGGUGAACGGCGGCCGUAACUAUAACGGUCCUAAGGUAGCGAAAUUCCUUGUCGGGUAAGUUCCGACCCGCACGAAAGGCUUAAUGAUUUGGAUACUGUCUCGGAGAGGGGCUCGGUGAAAUAGACUUGUCUGUGAAGAUGCGGACUACCUGCACCUGGACAGAAAGACCCUAUGAAGCUUUACUGUAACUUGAGAUUGAAAUUGGACUUUAUUUGCGCAGUAUAGGUGGGAGGCGUUGAGAAUAAUCUUGCGGGAUUAUCGGAGCCAUCAGUGAGAUACCACUCUUGUAAUGUUAGAUUUCUAACUUUGUAUCAUUAUCUGGUCAAAGAACAGUUUCAGGCGGGCAGUUUGACUGGGGCGGUCGCCUCCCAAAGGGUAACGGAGGCGCACAAAGGUUUCCUCUGAACGGGUAGAAAUCGUAUCUAGAGUGUAAAGGCAUAAGGAAGCUUGACUGUGAGACCUACAAGUCGAGCAGGGACGAAAGUCGGUCUUAGUGAUCUGACGGUGCUGAGUGGAAAGGCCGUCACUCAACGGAUAAAAGUUACUCUAAGGAUAACAGGCUGAUCUCCCCCAAGAGUUCACAUCGACGGGGAGGUUUGGCACCUCGAUGUCGGCUCAUCGCAUCCUGGGGCGGUAGUACGUCCCAAGGGUUGGGCUGUUCGCCCAUGAAAGCGGUACGCGAGCUGGGUUCAGAACGUCGUGAGACAGUUCGGUCCAUAUCCGGUGUAGGCGUUAGAAUAUUGAAAGGAGCCUUCUCUAGUACGAGAGGACCGAGAAGGACAUACCUCUGGUGUGCCAGUUAUCGUGCCAACGGUAAACGCUGGGUAGCUAUGUAUGGAGUGGAUAACCGCUGAAAGCAUCUAAGUGGGAAGCCCACCUUAAGGUAAGUAUUCUC
rnacentral:rRNA from 1 species